rnacentral:rRNA from 1 species
UACGUAGGUGGCAAGCGUUGUCCGGAUUUACUGGGCGUAAAGAGCGCGCAGGCGGUCGUUCAAGUCGCGUGUGAAAGCCCCCGGCUCAACUGGGGAGGGUCACGCGAUACUGAUCGACUGGAAGGCAGGAGAGGGUAGUGGAAUUCCCGGUGUAGUGGUGAAAUGCGUAGAUAUCGUGAGGAACACCAGAGGCGAAGGCGGCUACCUGGACAAUUGCUGACGCUCAGGCACGAAAGCGUGGGGAGCAAAAGGG